GGGCCCGCACAAGCGGUGGAGUAUGUGGUUUAAUUCGAUGCAACGCGAAGAACCUUACCAGGGCUUGACAUCCUGCGAAUCUCUGGGAAACCGGAGAGUGCCUUCGGGAACGCAGUGACAGGUGGUGCAUGGCUGUCGUCAGCUCGUGUCGUGAGAUGUUGGGUUAAGUCCCGCAACGAGCGCAACCCACGUCUUUAGUUGCCAGCAUUUAGUUGGGCACUCUAGAGAGACUGCCGGUGAUAAACCGGAGGAAGGUGUGGAUGACGUCAAGUCAUCAUGGCCCUUACGAGUAGGGCUACACACGUGCUACAAUGGCGCAUACAGAGGGCGGCCAACUUGCGAGAGUGAGCGAAUCCCAAAAAGUGCGUCGUAGUCCGGAUCGGAGUCUGCAACUCGACUCCGUGAAGUCGGAAUCGCUAGUAAUCGCAGGU
rnacentral:rRNA from 1 species